GGCGCAUCAUCGACCGAUCCUGAUGUUCUCGGAUGGAUUUGAGUAAGAGCAUACGGGGCCGGACCCGAAAGAAGGUGAACUAUGCCUGUGUAGGGUGAAGCCAGAGGAAACUCUGGUGGAGGCUCGCAGCGGUUCUGACGUGCAAAUCGAUCGUCAAACAUGGGCAUGGGGGCGAAAGACUAAUCGAACCUUCUAGUAGCUGGUUUCCGCCGAAGUUUCCCUCAGGAUAGCAGUGUUGAACUCAGUUUUAUGAGGUAAAGCGAAUGAUUAGGGACUCGGGGGCGCUAUUUAGCCUUCAUCCAUUCUCAAACUUUAAAUAUGUAAGAAGCUCUUGUUGCUUAAUUGAACGUGAGCAUUCGAAUGUAUCAACACUAGUGGGCCAUUUUUGGUAAGCAGAACUGGCGAUGCGGGAUGAACCGAACGCGAGGUUAAGGUGCCAGAGUAGACGCUCAUCAGACACCACAAAAGGUGUUAGUACAUCUUGACAGCAGGACGGUGGCCAUGGAAGUCGGAAUCCGCUAAGGACUGUGUAACAACUCACCUGCCGAAUGUACUAGCCCUGAAAAUGGAUGGCGCUCAAGCGUCUCACCCAUACCUCGCCCUCAGGGUAGAAACGAAGCCCUGAGGAGUAGGCGGACGUGGAGGUCAGUGACGAAGCCUAGG
rnacentral:rRNA from 1 species